CUCACCUGAAGGCGCUGCAAGUACCGACACACCUCGGCCUCAGGAAUGUGAACCGGGCAGAACUGGGCCCGGUUCACAGUUCGCUUCUUCUUUUUUUUGUCACAGCGACUGACAACAAAUGCAGGAAGUGAAAAAAAAAUCUCAGGGGAGGAAAAAUAAAAGUGUGACAAGUGCAGAGAGAGACGCGGAUCAGAGGGUGUGGAGGUUUCAGUCCCGGUUCCGGUCAUAGGGAGCGAGUCACCGUCUGAGGAGCCGACUGGUUUCAUGUGAUUUUUACCGACUGGGAGACGGAGAUCGGUUUUCACCGGCAGAAGGAAUCAUCGAUACUUCUUGAUUGAUCUGAUUAUUGGACUCCAGGAGUGGAUUCCUGCCAAAACUCACCAGAUAUGGCACAGGAAGAUAUAGAAAUAGGGCUUGACACGCCACUGAAUCCUGUUCCUGGCUCAGCUGAAGAUCAAAAGGACGAUGAUCACAACAUAAAUCAAAGCAAGGACAAAGAUAAAAUAGAAAACUACAGGAAACUGGCCAUUUGCAGCAUCAUCUGUGGUUGUUCCUGUUUGGGAUACAAAGCACUGGAAAAUUCAUUCCAGGUUGAACAUGAAGAGGACAAAGUCAAAAAACUAAAGUAUUCAAAAGCGGCGAAAAAGUACGGCAUAAUCUCCAUUGUCACGCUGUUUGGGCUCCUUGUCCUCAUCCCUGUGCUGCUAGUUUUCAUCUCAUAUCUUCUGACAUUGAGAGACUAAACGACUUUGGCAGAAAAACAAAAAGAUUCUGUGAACAACUUUGUAUUUUAUGGAGCAAAGUAACAAAAACAAAGCUGUGAUCAUUGACUAUCAUUAGAAGUUACAACCACUACUUUUAUCUCUCCAGUAUUUAAUGUAAACAAAACAGACAGCAUUCAUGUUUUAUACCCUGUGAUAUUUAUUUAACAAAUUCAUUUUUUUAAAAUGAAGAUGUAAAGUCCAGGAUUGCCUUGAAAUUUGAGUUUGAAAAGUUUUUAACCUCUCUUGAAGAUUUUCCACACAUCCAGAAAAACUGAGUACUUUCAUGUAUUUUAAUUGGGAUUAAUUAAUAAAAAUCCUAAAGAAAGGCAAAAUAAACUUUCAAAAGCAUACCGUUCUGUAACAACUCAAUCCUGAAUAUAGUUUAUUAUUACAAGAAAUGUAUGAAUUGUUACUGCGUAUACUAAAAUCACAAAUACAAGAGUAAAUAAAACAUUUUGGGCUUUCAGAAAUAAUAAAAACAAAUGGCAUAGUGGUGAUUAUGGCAGUACUU